CGUUUAAGUGCCAGGACGAAAGCUCUCUGUGUUCAGACUUUUUUUUUUGAAAAGAGUUUUAUUUCUCCAGGCAUUCAAAAUACAGAAGCUGACUAGAAAGCAAGGGAGAGAUUCCUCUGAAACUCCACAAAAGCAAGCAGGCUGGAAGUCCACCAAGGAGAGGAAAUCCUUGGCCCUUGGGCCACUUCAAACACUGCAUGAACCUGGACUGCAGCAGCUGAAAUGA
rnacentral:lncRNA from 1 species